rfam:Cavia porcellus supercont2_22 genomic scaffold, whole genome shotgun sequence.
AUCUUUCAGUUCACCAGUGUUGUGGUAGAGUGUUCACGCCACAUGCAUGAGACGUGCCUCUCUUAAACCUUAUUACAAUGUCACAUAUUACCAUUCUGCCC